AGGGAACCUUCCACAAUGGACGCAAGUCUGAUGGAGCAACGCCGCGUGAGUGAAGAAGGUUUUCGGACCGUAAAGCUCUGUUGUUGGUGAAGAAGGAUAGAGGUAGUAACUGGCCUUUAUUUGACGGUAAUCAACCAGAAAGUCACGGCUAACUACGUGCCAGCAGCCGCGGUAAUACGUAGGUGGCAAGCGUUGUCCGGAUUUAUUGGGCGUAAAGCGAGCGCAGGCGGAAGAAUAAGUCUGAUGUGAAAGCCCUCGGCUUAACCGAGGAAUUGCAUCGGAAACUGUUUUCUUGAGUGCAGAAGAGGAGAGUAGAACUCCAUGUGUAGCGGUGGAAUGCGUAGAUAUAUGGAAGAAUACCAGUGGCGAAGGCGGCUCUCUGGUCUGCAACUGACGCUGAGGCUCGAAAGCAUGGGUAGCGAACAGGAUUAGAUACCCUGGUAGUCCAUGCCGUAAACGAUGAGUGCUAAGUGUUGGGAGGCUUCCGCCUCUCAGUGCUGCAGCUAACGCAUUAAGCACUCCGCCUGGGGGAGUACGACCGCAAGGUUGAAAC
rnacentral:rRNA from 1 species